UAGAGGAAGCCUCUCUCAGCGCUGAGGUCAAGGUGCCUGAGAAUAGGCAACUUAAAACUGUUGAGCGUGCUGACGCGACCGGCUUGGGGACUGAAGACAUCGGCGCGUGACGGCCUGCCAAUAUUCUCUUUGAUCCUGAAGUUGCAGAAUGUCUCCUCAAAACCAUUCUGUCCUUGUUGCCCCUGUUGUCUCUGAAUUCCCUGUUCUCGUCUUUCCUCCUGUUGUGACUCUGGUGGCUGGAUGAAAUCGAGACGUCCUCUAACUCUCACGAUUUGGGGUCUGUUGUCUUUCUGUCCCUGAAGCUGCUGGGCAGUCUGUUGGUCAAUGUUCAAAGCAUCAGCGAGGAGCUGUGUGUUGAAGCCUGCAAAGAUGUUGUUGUUUCCUUGUCGUUGUUGUUGCUGGUGCCUGCUCCUUCCUCCUUGCUGUUGCUGGUGCCUGCUCUUUUCUCCUUGCUGUUGCUGGUCCUGGUCCCAUUGACUUUGGCCUUCCGCUUGUUGUCCACGUCCUUGCCGUCCUCGUUGCCUUUGGCUUUGCCCGUGUUGGUUAAACUCAUCUUGUGGAUUACCCGCUAGAUAGAAUCUCUAUACACAUAACAAUAGUACAAUACAUGUAUGUGAUCUGCAGUCAGCAAUGAUAACAAGUAAUCUACCAAUAAAUAUGCAAAUAUAUUUGGGGGUGUAAAUGGACAGUGUGCUCAUUAGUAGAUAUUUAAUUUACCCUAGGGUUACGAUCAAGCUGGUUUUGGUUGUUGCCGAUGUCAAGAAGACUGACAGCAACAAGAGGUUGAUCACCGUCAUUGUAGGACCAGUAGGUGACUCCGGCAGGAAUAGCAACAACGUCACCUUCUCUGAUGCGUCGAACCUUCUGGUGUCUGUCUAGCUGUUCGAAGCUUUCUUGUCCCUGUUGGCCUUGCUGGCCUUGUUGUCUAUGACGGCCAUGCUGUCCACGGUCUUGCUGCUCUUGUUGUUCACGGCCUUGCUGUCCAUGACGCCCUUGCCAUUGUUGUUGACCCUGUUGUUCUUCAUCAGAUUGUUCUGAUUCUUCAAAAGACUCAGGACAGCCAGGGAAUACAGUAGAUAGAAAACCAUUUCCUGCCGUAAUUAUAUGAAUAUAUUACACACCAUAUACAGAUACAUAUUAAUACAUAUCCAACAUUUAUAAUAUUAGAUAGAAAUGGUUCCGGUUACACAGUACCUUGGACAAUAUAUAUGAGCUGUGGUGCGUGGGUGUAAGAAGGCAAGUGAAGGCCAUUUCUUUCAACAGUGAUUCGUUGAACAGCAACACCAGCACACCGGAAGUCGUCCUGGUUGUAGUUCCAGGACUCGAUCCUACCCGCUUCAGUCUCAAUGCGGUUAUCAGGUUCGCGGGCUUGGAUCUGAUCAAGUUGGCACUCAUUCUGCUGGCUCGACUGAGAUUGUUGGCGCGCUGCUAAGCAGCUGUGGAAGAGGACAAGCAAGCAAAGAGAAAAGGCGAGAGCUAUAGGCUUAGCCAUAGUGUUGAUCAGAUAAGUAUAUAGCUUGUCGUGGUGAAGCGGCGAGUAGAAGGUGUGGUAUUUAUACUUUUAUAGGAUAGAGAAGCUGAAGAGGGAAGGAUAAGUACAACAACGUACAUCUGUAAAUAGUCUGAAGCCAUUCUUAUCUUUGCAUGGCAAAAGCAUUUCACAUUCUUACACCUCAUUUCUCCCAGGGCAGGUGGCUCAUGGCUUCAGAGAAGAUACAAAGUGCCUAACAAGGUGGGGUUUUGCCAUGAUUGUCUGCAAGUGAAGCGAAAUUCUACUGCCUUGAACCUGGUCCAAUAAAGAGCAAAAUUUAUGAGAGGACUAAGAUAUGUUCUUACCAGUUUUAGUAAAAUAGUAUUACAUCAGCACCAACCUGAUGAACAUCUUCUAUAAUGUAGGCAAGGUUCAAAAAUGGCUGUUCUUAUCUUCCUAGUAGCCAUCCAUACUCUGUCAUUUUAUGAGUCAAAGUUUAAUAUUUAAAACUUAUGUAGACAUUCCAACAAUAAAACUUAAAAGUUCUUAACUCUAGUUGGUAAUACUUUGACACGUCAAACUUCUUUGAUUUCUUCCAGAAGCAUAAGCAUCUGGUUCUCACGUUGCUAAUCACUUCACCUAUCUAGUUUUCCUACCAAAAAGAAUCUGAUAUAGAUAGAAAAGUUAGCCAUAAAUGUAGGACUUACUGUGAACAAUGUCCCAAUUCCAACCUCAAAGAUUAGAAUCUAAAAGCUCGUAACUCAAAAUUAUACAACAUCAUUAUAUUCACAAUAAAAAGUACUCUGACAUAAGGUUUAGUUCAGUUUAGUGCUUCUUGAAAAAAAAGAUGAAGACUUCAACUGUUCUACAACAUAAUUGUCUAUAUCUAUACUCAAAAUGAUCAAUAAUCGUUUAUCCUACCAUAUUUCUUGUAUGGAAUAUCUUGUUACAUUUUGUUUUCAUAGCAAAAUGUUGCAAUAUUUGAGUGAUAGAUACACUGCCAACAUGGUGUACAAGUUCCACAGCCAAGAUUUUUGGGCUCACGACAACUCUUAAGGCUUAAGAACCAGUAAUGCAUGGUUGAACUAGGGAGCAGCCAUUGCUGAAGGCUCCUCCUCAAAACGAUCCAUUGCUUUAUUACCCCAUGGUUGGAAAACCUGCCAACAGUCAAAAUUUCCUCUUCCCCCGCAGUCGAUAUUUUCUCAUCUCAAUAAAUUUUAUUCAUCCAAAACAUAAAUCCUUUUGUUUAAGUACCCGCCAGUAUAUCUAAUAUCUGUGACAAGCCGAGUGCUGACAGCUGAUAUUUUAAAACUUGGGAUUCCCUAUAGCCCCUCUCAUUAUAACCCCUCUAAUGUUAAAGCUUCUGCUAAAGACACAUCUCUAGUUCCUCGAGCUAAUGCUACAUCCGCAAUGCAAUUGUUCCCAUGCAAUGAUUAGCCAGAGGAAAACUCGAGGAGCUCCCUUGACUCUGAUCAAUUUAGCCUCAAGUCUCGAACUUGUUCUUUGAAAGUCAGUGAAGAGGCUACUUCUUUAACUGGUGAUGGUGCUCAACCAAUGUUAAGCCAGACAGAGGAUAGUUAAGUGAAUCUGGUCGGGAAGACCUAAAAAGAGCAAAACUUCUUGCUUUCCCUUGCUACACAACGAGUACUACUAAAAGGUCGAUUCCAACAAAAGAGCUCAGGAUGUUGUUAUUAAUGGGGUUGGGACUUGAGUUCUCGGGUGGGAAUGUGAAGGUGCAGCAGUUGCUUUGCAACUCUACUUUACUGUCCUUGUCCAAGCUGAUAAGGGUGGGACGACAUUGAACGGCCUUAUUUACAGGUCCUCUAUAUAUUGGAAUACUUGACUGUCUCAGAAAGGACUUGCCAAGUGAUUCCCUAAUUCUAAUGCUCAGACCUCGGCCUAUUUGAAAUGUCUGAUAGAAACUAGUUUGAGGAAUAAUUAGCUUCUUUACCUGUGAGUACAUGUUUCUAUGGAAGGUUUCUGUAAUGCUAGCUUUCCUUCUGCUAUAAGGAAGGUGACCAAGCUUUUAAUCCUAACACCAAAGUUAAACCUUUUCCAAAGAAAGGGGGUCAAAACCUGUAGAAUAUUAUGUAACAGGUUGAACCUAACACAUAAAGUUCAGCAAUCAUCCAUGAUCCAUCUUCUAUCAUAUUUUUACUGAACCAAAGAUUAAGUAAUCAACACUGGCAGUUGUUUAUGUAAGUUAUUCUGAUAAAGAAAAAAGAUCCAUCACUACCCUUAAACUUAUUGUGCCACAAAACACAAAUGACUUCAAUUGUUCCUAUCGCAUAGAAACCAAACUUUUGUCAUUGUUUCUUGGAAUUAUUCUGUACACAUCACUUCUGUGCAAUCAUGCACAAAAUAGAAUCAAAAUACCAUGACAAUGACAAAGGGUUUAAUUCAAUUUGGCACUUCUUACCAACACUAUGCUCCUCCAAAUGGUCCUCAUAGUCAAAGGGACUUCCCCAUAUCCCUUGUUCCAAAAUUAGCUUCUUUACCCAGAAUCAAUCAUCCUACUACGCUCAAAAUAUCUAAUUUCUCAAUACUCUACUGAUUCAAUUGAGUUGAAGACAAAGUAGACAACAAUUAACAGAUCAAAUGUGAAAGUACAUAAUUCAAUAGACUCACGAUUGCUGAGUUGCAGGUCACUGGUUGUGGUGUGUCUGAUCAGCAGGAGCUACGUUUCAAGCACGCCCUCGUGAAGCAAUCUCGUCCCCGACGCGACCUCUGGUAGUCGGAAUAUGCGGCCGGAUAACAUGAUCCGGCGAUCCCGUCUUUCACAUUGUGUUUGGUUGGACAUUGGCGGUUCCAGCAGUUCAGUUACUAUUGGUCUUCACCCUCUCAGCGCUCAACCUCUUCUAGUCUCUCCUUUUAUUCUUGUACUUGUCAGUUGUCACAGUUGCUAUCUAUGUGAUUGUUCCACGUGGAUUUUAUUUUCCUGCAAAUUCCCAAAUUAAUUAUUAUUUUGUCCAAAAUUUCCAGAUGAAUUGUUUGUUGUCUUUGAUGUUUUUUUUUCUUUUGUAAAAAGAUCGUAUGACCCCUUAUAUGGAUAUUUUCAGGAGACUUCUUGCCGCCUUCACGCUGUUCACGUUCCACAUACAUAUAUACAUGCAGCUCAACAUGCUUUUUCACCAACUUCACUGAGUUCUUUGAUGAUUCUAAUCAUUCGAUGGAAUCACAAAAUAGUUAGUUUAUACAACAGAGUUCGUGAGCUGCUUAUUUUAUAGUUUAAUUUUGGCGUGACGUCAUUAGUUAAAGCUCGACGAAGCAUGCUGUUUUUCUUUUCUAUCAAGAGCGUGAUUAGCUGGUUUGGAAAUUUCAUUUCUAUUUUUCUCGUUCUUAUUGAGAGUCAAACUUUGAAGAAAUGAUAGUCAAACUUCGAAGAAAUGAUUGGAGUCAAACCUGAUGAUUACAGACAAGGGGUGAGCUGCUGAUAUGCAAUUACAGCCAAAGCAAAUUACUGACUUAAAUCUAAGGGGCAAAGCUUCACAAUUUAGAUAAAACACCAACUCACCAAGUAUAGUUGAGGCAAAAAGAAAAUUCAUUUAACGAGAAUAUGACUACAAGAACGUAGUAGCUCGUUAUUUACUAGUUUGUACAUAAGAUCUCAUAUCUUCCGAAGAUGCCAUAUAAAGGCCAUUUUUAUUCACUCUACCCUUUAGCUCGCUGGUACCAUAUUCACUAGCUUAUUCACCGCACAAAAAACACUACGUGCGCAUUACAUACAUAUUCAUACUCAGACAAACAUCUCAGCAAUAUCCAACCAGUUCCUGUGGGAUCGAGGAGACCUUGAUGAGCUCAAAGCAACAGUCUCCUGCCUGUUGUACUUGAGAGUCCUUGCCUGUUGUCGAUCAAUCUGGUAUGCGUUAGCGAGGACCACGUCAGGGAGUGCCCGCAAGACUGAGGUCCGGCCAGCAAGAGUGUUAAUCUUAGCAUUGUCUUGGGUCUUGAAAGCAAUGUAUUCGAAUCCAUUGUUGCUAGCCUUAUGCAACACUGCAUGGUUCUGUGGCACAAUGAAGAGCUGGCCCUGGCGGACCUCGUUGUCCAAGAUGGCCUGGCCGUUGUUGUUCACAACCUGAACCCUAGCACUACCUCUAAUGACGUAGUAGACUUCAUGGGCGUUCAAGUUCCAGUGAGGACUGUAGAUAGCAUUCUGCAAGUACCACAAACAAGAUUAGUAAUCAUAAUCAAUAACCUCAAUUGAUUCAAAAGGACCUAUAUCGUUGAUUAUAUAUACUUACGUUAUAGAAGAAGCCUCUCUCAGCGCUGAGGUCAAGGUGCCUGAGAAUAGGCAACUUAAAGCUGUUGAGGGUGCUGAUGCGACCGGCUUGGGGACUGAAGACGUCAGCGCGUGAAGGCCUGCCGAUAUUCUCUUUGAUCCUGAAGUUGCAGAAUGUCUCCUCAAAACCAUUCCGUCCUUGUCCCUGUUGUCUCUGAAUUCCCUGUUGUUGUCUUUCCUCCUGUUCUGACUCUGCUGGCUGAACAAAGUCGAGACGUCCUUUAACUCUCACGAUUUGGGGUCUGUUGUCGUUCUGUCCCUGAAGCUGCUGGGCAGUCUGUUGAUCAAUGUUCAGAGCGUCAGCGAGGAGCUGUGUGUUGAAGCCGGCGAAGAUGUUCUUGUUGUUUCCUUCUUGUUGCUGGUGCCUGCUCCUUCCUCCUUGCUGUUGCUGGUGCCUGCUCCUCUCUCGUUGCUGUUGCUGGUCCUGGUCCCAUUGACUUUGUCCUUGCUGGCCCCGACGACUCUGGCUUUGCCCGUGUUGGUUAAACUCAUCUUGUGGAUUACCAGCCAGAUAGAAUCUCUACAUACAUAACACAUCAUGCAUGUGAUCAGAAAAAACUAGCAAGCCAACAGUAAGAGUGCUAUUGUACCUCCACAAAAGAAAAUAUAUACAUAUCACAUUUGCUAAUUAAUUUACCCUGGGGUUACGGUCAAGCUGGUUUUGUUGGUUGCCGAUAUCAAGAAGAUUGACAGCAACAAGAGGUUGGUCACCGUCGUUGUAGGACCAGUAGGUGACUCCAGCAGGAAUAGCAAUCACAUCACCUUCUCUGAUGCGUUGAACCUUCUGGUGUCUGUCUAGCUGCUCGAAACUCUCUUGUCCCUGUUGGCUGUGCCGCCCUUGUUGUCUAUGACGACUUUGCUGUCCAGGGCCUUGUUGCCCUCGUUGACCACGGCCUUGUUGUUCAUACUCUUCCUGUUCUUGUUGCCCGCGGCCUUGCUGUCCAUGGCGCCCUUGCUGGCCUUGCCACUGUUGUUGACCUUGUUCUUCAUCAGAUUGCUCAGAUUCUUCAAAAGUUUCAGGACAGCCAGGGAAAACAGUUGAUAGAAAACCAUUGCCUACAGGGUAUAAAUGAAUGAUUUUAACCACAUACGUACUUGUAUUCAAAAAAUUUAUACUAAAUUUAACCAAUUGCAUUUAUACAAUACCUUGCACUAUGUAAGUGAGUUGUGGAGCAUGGGAGUAAGAAGGCAAGUGAAGGCCAUUUCUUUCUAUGGUAAUUCGUUGAACGGCAACACCAGCACAUUGGAAAUCGUCCUGGUUGUAGUCCCAGGAUUCGAUCCUACCCGCUUCAGUCUCAAUGCGGUUAUCAGGUUCACGGGCUUGGAGCUGAUCUAAUUGGCAUUCAUUUCGCUGGCUCGACUGAAAUUGUUGGUGAGCUGCUAAGCAGCUCUGGAAGAGGACAAGCAAACAGAGAGAAAAGGCGAGAGCUAUAGGCUUAGCCAUAGUGAUGAUCAGAGAGAUAGCUAGCUAGUUGUGGUGAAGCGGCGAGUAGAAGGUGUGGUAUUUAUAGGAUAGAGAAGGUGAAGAGACAAAAAUAAGUACAAUAACAUUAAAGAUCUGAAGCCGUUCUUCUCUUUGCAUGGCAAUAGCAAUUUACAUUCUUCCACCUCAUUCCUUCCAGGGCAGGUGGCUCAUGACUUCAGAGAAGAUACAAAGUGCUAUGAAUAAGGUGGCAACCAGAAGCGGUUUGCAAUUGUCUGCAAGUGAAGCAAAAUUUUACACCCUUGAACCUGGUCCCAAUACAGGGAAAAAUUAAUGAGAGAAGUCAGAUAAGUUCGUUCUAAAUUUGGUAAAAUGAUAUUACAUCAGCCCCAACCUGAUGAACAUCUUCUAUGAUCCAGACAAGGUUCAAAAAUGUAAGAUCUCAUCGGAAAAAAAAUGUAUGUUAGAUAAGUACUGAAUGAUGUGUCAGGAACCUCAAGACAUUUUUCUAUAUGCAAUUUAUCAUUGUUUCACAUUCUUACAGCUCAUUUCUUUGACCAGGUGGCUUAUGGCUUCAGAGAAGACUCAAAGUGGCUUGAACAAUGUGUCAACCAGGUGGGAAUGACAUGAUUUUCAAAUGCAGCAAAGAUUUACUGCCGUGAAUAAUGCAAAAUUAAUUAUACAAACAAGAUCUAUAGCUGUUCAAUGCAUAGUUUGGAAAAGUAAAAUCAUACCAACACCAACCUGAUAAACUCAUCUAUGAUGCAUGCAUGGUGAAAAAUUAUAACAUUUUCAUCUUUCCUACAGUAAUCAGCAUAGUCUAUCCUUUCAUGAAUCAAAAUUAAUACUUCAAGUCUAUGCACAUAAAAUCUUACUAAAAAUAAUGCAGUUUAGUGGUUUAUAUAAGUUUCUUUGCAAACAAAUCUGAACUCCAUCACUAUUCUUGAAACUACUGUGACCCAUCAACGUUAUUACCUCAGCUAUCAACCAUUCUCAUGUCAUAAAGAUUCAGAAUUUGCAAUAUUACUCCUAGAAGUUCUCUGUUCAUCUACAGAAAGGAGUCUCGUAGAAGCUACUGUUGUGAUAGAAGCUAGGAUAGCUAAUGCUGCAAAAUUGAUCUCCGAGAAGCUAUUGUUGUUAAAAUCCCAUCUCAUAAAAUUUUCUCCUGUUUCAAAAAUUAAAAAAUAUAAAAAAUUGUCUCCCUUUGAUUAAAGCACCCUGAACACCAGAAAUGGUGUCACUUAAAACCUCUCUCAAUCUCCAAGCUAACACUUUUGCGAUAAUUUCAUACAAGCUUGAUAAUCAAGCUGUGGACUUCUGUAGAUGAACAGAGAACUUCAAGGAGAACUACCACUUUUGGACUAAUUUUACAACCAAGACUUUACUUCUACUACUUUGUUAUAAAAGAUUGCAAGGCAUCAAUAGACGAUAUAUAGUUGAUAAGACUGGAUGCAAUCCACUCAAAUGCAUUUCAAAAAACUAUAUUCAAUGAGUAAUUUGAGUUGUUUUUUUCUUCCAACUCAAAAACUUGAACAAACCUCGAUUCUAAUACUCUAAACAAAGAAUUUAACCCGGAAUCGAAAGAUCAAUACUGAAAAACAUAAUCUGAUACAUAAACAUGUGUUAUCAUUUGUAAAACAUCAGAUACAACCUAUUUGCACAAAAUGGGUUACACAUCUCUAACAAAGGCUUAGACUUUAGAUAUCAAAAGAAUUCCAAUUUGUCCUCUUCUACACAAUUCUAACAAAUGCUCAAGUCCUUUAAGGCCUUGUAUUUAGAUGCUAAGAAGAGUAAAAAAUGGGCCUAUUGGCAGGAUUUAAAUUGAAAAUCUUGAUUUAAAAAUGGUUGAAUUCCAGAUCAGUCUACAGAGAAUCUAGUAAUUCUAUGCUUCAAAAACUCAUUUGCCCCUCUUUAAAUCCUCACAAUGUGGGGUUGAUUAGCUUCCUUUAACCAAGAGUAACAUGGUUCUAUGAAAAACAAGCAUUAAUGAAUCAAACAGAGAUCACAACACAAUAACAAAUAGAUCAAACUUUGAAAUCAACUAAUAUUAGACUCCCAAAUUCCAAGUUCAAGUAGGCUGUUGUUGAAUCACGCGUUACCUCGCGAAGCGAGUCUCGCUUCCCACGACGUUGCAUUUCUUGCUCGUCGGCGUAUGACGCCGGAGAAAACGAUUCGGCGACCACGUCUUCCAUUUUUCCCUUCAUUUUCUGAUCCUGGUUUGCUCUCUGGUUUUCUACCUAUUGUGUUGGGCUUUAUUACAUACUUUUGGGUCCUUUUUCCUUUUAUUUUUCUUUUUCUUUCAUUUUAAAAGUCGAAUAGUUUCCUAAUAUUUCGAAAAAUUAAAAGUCGAGUACCUCACAGUAUCUAGUUUUUAUUUGAUAAAUCAGUAUCUAGUUUUUUUUUUUUAAGAAAGAGCUUCUAGUUUUCAUAUUCAUUUGAUAAAUAAAAGUAAUUUUAACCUCUCGUGUGCAUUUAAGUUGUCUAUUAUGGUGAGAAAAGUUUCCUAAAAGAAAACUAUGGUGAGAAAAACAAGAGCAUUCGAAAUGAGAAGAACAUGAAGGUGGAUUUGAGAGGAGCCAAAACGCGAAUCAAAGGAAGAAGAAAGAGAUUUCAUUAGAAAAAAGUGUAACGCGAAUCAAAGGAAGAAGAAAGAGAUUUCAUUAGAAAAGAGUGUUUGAGACUACAAGUAGAGUAGCUAUUUAUUAACUUGUGGCAUUAGAUCUCUCUCCUAGUACCACGAGACCCAUAUAAAAGGCUACUUUUAUUGAUUAUCUACCUCUUAGCUUAGCAAGUACCACAUUAACACUACAUGCCGCUAAAUUUUUCAUUUGCUCCCAUCAGUAUCUCUAGAACUGUGAGGACCUUGAUGAGCUCAAAGCAAGAGUCUCCUGCCUGUUAUACUUGAGGUCCUUGCCUGCUCGCGGUCCAUCUGGUAGGCGUUGGCGAGGACCACGUCGGGGAGUGAUCGCAAGACGGAGGUCCUGCCAGCUAGAGUGUUGACCAUGGCAUUGUCAUUGGUCUUGAAGGCAAUGUACUCGUACCCGUUGCUCUGGGCUUUUUGCAACACGGCGUGGUUUUGCGGCACGAUGAAGAGUUGUCCCUGGCGGACCUGGUCGUCCAAGAUGGUCUCACCGUUGUCGUUCACCACCUGAACCCUGGCGCUACCUCUGAUGACAUAGAUGAUCUCAUGAGCAUUCAAGUUCCAGCGGGGGCUGUGGAUAGCAUUCUGCAUGUACCAUUACCAGAUAAAUUUCAGGAUUAAUUGAUCAAUAGGUAACUAAAUUUAAUUAUUAGAAACAUACAUGCUAGAAUACUCACGUUGUAGAAGAAACCUCUCUCAGCGCUGAGACGGAGGUGCCUGAGAAUAGGCAUGCUGAAGCUGUUGAGGGUGCUGAUGCGACCGGCUUGUGGGCUGAAGACGUCAGCCAUGGAAGGCUUGCCGAUGUUCUGCUUGAUCUGCAUGUGGCAGAAUACCUCCUCAAAGCCAUUCUGGCGGCCCUGUUGUCCUUGCAGUUGUCUUUCCUCCCUCUGUGACUCUGGUGGCUCGACAAAGUCGAAACGUCCCUCAACCCUAACAAUUUGUGGCCUGUUGUCAUUCUGUCCCUGGAGCUGCUGGACAGUCUGUUGGUCAAUGUUGAGAGCAUCGGCGAGGAGCUGGGUGUCGAAGCCGGCAAAGACAUUGUUGUUGUUGUUACCCUGCUGUUGGCGCCUGCUCCUUCCUUGUUGUCGGCCUUGCUGUCCCCGUUGGCUUUGGCCUUGUUGUCCUUGUUUCCACCAUUGGCUUUGGCCUUGUUGGUUGAACUCAUCUUGCAUGCGGGUUACCAGCAAGAUAGAAUCGCUACAAAUAGAGAUCAAGCAGCAAGCAUUGAGUGAGUUAACAAUGUAAAAUAAGUUGUUAACUUCAUGUUUAGAGUAAAAUUGUCAGUAAAAAGGUGUACCCUCUUGGGUUUUGGUCAAGCUGGUUGUGGUUGUUGCCGAUGUCUAGAAGAGUAACAAAAACAAGAGAUUGAUCACCAUCGUUGUGAGUCCAGGUUGUGGCUCCGGCGGGGAUUGCGAUAACAUCACCUUCCUUGAUGCGUCGCACCCUCUGGUGUCGGUCUAGCUGUUCAAACUCUUGUUGGCCUUGCUCUCCGAAUUGCCCUUGUCGACGUCCGUGUCGCUGGCGGUGGCCUCCGCCUUGUUGGCCUUGCCAUUGUUGUUGCUGUUGUUCUUCAACAGAUUGCUCAGACUCCUCAAAUGUCUCCGGACAGCCAGGGAAUACCAUCCCUAGAUGACCCCUACCUACAGUAGUGUCCAAAAAUAGCAAGCUAAACACAUGCUUAAACACCACUAGGUGCAAUUUACUGAAUAAUAAAUAACGGACUGUUUUGCACUUUACCUUGUACAACGUAAACAAGCCUUGGUGUGUUAGUGUAGGAAGGCAAGUGAAGGCCAUUACGCUCAAUGGUGAUUCUUUGAACAGCAACACCAGCGCACUAGAAGUCAUCCUGGUUGUGAUCCCAAGACUCGAUGCGACCUGCUUCAGUCUCAAUACGGUUGUCAGGCUCGCGGGCUUGGAUCUGGUUCAGCAUGCACACAUUUUGCUGGCUGAACUGAGAUUGUUGCCGACUGGCUAAGCAGCCUUGGAAGAGAACGAGCAAGCAAAGAGAAAAGGCAAGAGCUAAAGGCUUGGCCACCAUUGUAACAAUCAGUGGUAGAUAGCUAGCUGUGGGUUGUGGUGAAGCGGCGAGUAGAUGGCGUCGGUAUUUAGAGGAGAGAGGAGGAGGCGAGGAGGAGAAAAAUACAAGGGAUGAGAUUCUCUUUGCAUGCUAUUAGUAUCUCAAAUUCAUACACCUCAUCUUUAUACCUGGGCAGGUGGCUAUUGGCUUCAGAGGAUAUAUAUACAAAGUGCCGAGAACAAUGUGGCAAACAGGUGGGGGGUGGUCAUGAUUGUCUGCAAGUAAAGCAAAUUGUACUGCCUUGAACCUGGUCAAGUUCAUGAAAAAGUUCAUUCAAGAUAUCAGGUCUAAUCUGUUUCAUGUUUGGUAAAGUAAAUAGAGUAGCAACCUGGACCAUAUAUAAUCUACACAGGUGAGAUAAAAAAACCUUAAUUUACCAUCAUGCAAUAGCCAGAAUCCAUCUUCAAUCCUCUAUGAUUCUAUUAAGACUUAAAGCACAUUUACCCUCUUCAAGAAUUCACAUUCCAGCACUCUUCUAAAUGACUCUACUUGAUGAAAUUCAAAGUACCUCUCGCUAUAUUCUGGGAAUUACUGUGAUCAUCAGAGCAAUUACCUCACCUAUUAACUCAUAGUAUGCUUGAGCUAAUGUGAGAUCAUUCCUUAUAUAAAUGAGAAUGCAAUGCCUAACAUAAGUUUUAUGUGUAUAAUACAAUCAUAAGAGACUCACUGAUUACAAUUAUAUGAAAUAUAUGAAACAAAAGCACAGAAAAUAGACUUCUGGAAAAAGAACAUAUUUCUACAAGUGAAGGCUUAUUAUUUACACUAGUCUCACUGAUUUCCAUUUGGCUCUUCUGACCAAAUAGACUUCUGUAAAAAGUACAACAUUUGAGCCCAUGAUCACCCUCUACUUGGAAAUACCAUUGAUUCUAAAACAUAGUCCUUACAGUAUUUGUGGGAACUAGAUUAUUGGGUCAGUUUAGCUAAGAUUAAACUGUUAACAAAACCAAGCUUUAGAACCCAAUUUAGCAAAAUGAACAUACAAUAGUGUCACACCCCGGACCGUGGUUUCCAAGCACCAGACGCCGAACCCGAGGCGUGAGCGGGAAAAAUAAAAGAAAAUAAAAUAAUUUCAAAUACUUUUCCAGAAAUUGUUAAAAAAAAAGAAAAUAAAAUGUUUUACAAUAACAAAACAAUUACAAAGACAAUAAGAUGAGCCCUUGCGAUCUAGCUCAUUUUUAAUCUUUCGUAACUCUUUUCUACUCUUGUACACGUCUCCUAAACUUCAUAGUCUCGAAAUACGUUCCUCGUACGUACCUGAACAAAAGUCUAUAGGGAUGAGCUUACGCUCAGUAGGGCCAAACCUUUUUAGGUUAUACUUAACUAGGUUGCACAAACAAGUUAUCAAGCAAUGUCAAACAAUACUUUAAAUAAAUAACGGCAAUUCGAUGCAUGUAUGCUAAUGAAUGUCUUCCUCAAUUACUAGCUAUCAGUCCAUACAUCAAAGAUAAGUGAGCCUACACGUCUCAUACCGUGUAUUUUACCAACCGGGGAUAACUCAAAUGUCUCGAAUAUAUGAUCUAACAAUCAAUAAAAUCUCACCACCUGUACCUCUUUUGUUAGUCAUCUUGUUAUAUUCAUGGUCUCCAAACCUGAAACCCGAAGAUCGUUUUAUCGAUGUCCGCCAUCGAAGGGGCAUAUAUACUUUCCCCACUCAUUUGCGCAUGUGGGCUGGCAUGGAUUCAUGGACAACCCAUGAGAAAACUCAACUACACAAAAUGUAUAUAUUCUCUAAAUCUCAUUCUCCUCUCCAUAAUCAUCAUUCUCACCAUUCUCACAAUUCCUCACAAUGUUUUACACACUACAAGGACAAACACUUUAGCCGACGAAAAAGUUUCGUCGGCCUGUUAGCUUAAUUUGUCGGCUAAGAUUUCGUCGGGAAAAGGUCGUCGGCGAUGACUUUAGCCGACGAAAAAAGAAGACGUCGUCGGCUAUAGUCCCACAAUUUAGCCGACAAAAAACAUGUCGUCGGUUUUUUUCCCAGACUUUAGCCGACGAAACAAUAAGAUAUUCGUCGGCUAAAGUGUGUAAUAAAAAAUUAAAAAAAUAAUUAUAGCCUACCAAAUAUAGUCUGUUUCGUCGGCUAAACCUUAUAAAAAAAUUAAAAAAAUAACUAUAGCCGACGAAAUAUAGUAUGUUUCGUCGGCUAAACCUUAUAAAAAAAUUAAAAAAUAAAUAUAGCCGACGAAUAUAGUAUUUAAAUAUCGUCAGCUAAAGUUGCUGGUUUUUGAAAAAAAAAACUGCAGAAACUUUCGGCCAACUCCAAUCACCACCAAAAUUUGAUAGAAUCUUCCUCUCAACAUUUCAAACAACUUUCUAGAAGAAGUCGAAUCCCAAUUCUAAACCUAAACAGGUCAAUUGAAUCAAAAUAUAAAAAUCCCCAAUUUUAAACCCUAAAAACUUCAAAUCUUUGAUUCUCCUCACACACACCGAAUCGAGCUACCAAAUUCUAGGGGAAUGUAGUACUAAUCAAACUCAACUUAUCCAUAUAUAGAACUCACCAAAUGGUGACCUGAGGAAUGAGAAAUUCGAUCGACACCGAAUCCAAACCGGCGGAGUUUUGGAGCUCGAUUUAUCCCUCACGGCGGCGCCACUCGAUGCACCACCUAUCCAGCAAUGAAGUAGAGACAACGACGAAGCUUUUGGGACAAGUGUGGCGGUCUCCAGUUGCUUGACGGCAGAGCUAGGCCGAGAAGAAAAUCCGGAACUUUUUCUGAUUUUCUGACUUCUUACCAUCCACCUCUGGUAAAACUCCUAUAUAAAGAACUUUACCCGACGAAAUUCUUUAUUUUCGUCAGCUAAACUCUUUUGAAAAUUUUUGUUGACCGCCAAAAAAUUUGGUUGAAAAUUUUAAAAAUUUUUCGACUUUAGCCGACGACUUUUCAUAUAUUUUCGUCGGCUAAAGUCCUUUGAAAAUUUUCCUCCAAAUUUGGUUUACCGCCAACAAAAUUUGACCUUAGCCGACGACUUUUUUAGUAUCUCGUCGGCUAAAGUCUAUAAAUUCACGAAAACGCUCAUAUCGAUCUCCCUCUAUAUUACGUAGUUUGGUCAAACAUUCCACACGAAAAACUUUCACAUAGAUGAGACGCAACCGCCUAUAUAAAAAUUUUGAGACAUUUACCUUCCGACGAUAGGGCUCCCCAUAGGGAAUAAUAACGGUAAAUAGGGUUAACCGCUACUAUCGGCACCGAGACGUUACCCAGUUUACGUGGAUUUUGAACCAUAGCCGUAAUUCAUCAUUCUGAACACAUCUUAUUUCACAAGAUUUUUGAUAAUUUUGCUUCCUAUGUUGUAUAACCUACUAAACAAGUUAUACAACAUUACUAGACACGUGAUUCCGAUGACUAAAAUUCACAAACCAAAAUUCGACCAUCAGAUAUGAUCAUUAUGACGAAAGAUGUCUAUAGUAAAAAAUUUAACUGGAUUCGACAACGUUAAGGGCUCGAUCGAAACGGUCAACUCUAAUCGGAAAUAAGAAAACUGCAUUUUGAAGCCCUAAACGGACUCGGAUGGCCAAAAAGGCCCAUAUGUGAUGGCAUAGCGAUGAGUUUGACUCGUAGGGCCGUUACGCUUCUAGAAAUGUAUCACAAUAGUCAAUCGGACGCCGAAUGCCAAAUCUGCAGCAUAAUUAAUACCGGGUUUCGACUGUUCUACAUCAGAGACGUUACCCGAUUUACGUGAUUUUUGAACCAUAGCCGUAUUUCACCGUUCUGAACACAUCUUAUUUCACGAGAUUUUUGUUAAUUUUGCUUCUAUGUAGAGUUGGUUCACAAAGUUGUGUAUUUGUUUAAAACCUACUAAGCAAGUUAUACAACAUUUUAUUGUUUUUCUUUUAGCCGACGACUUUUAUCGAUAAUAGCCGACGAGUAAAAAUAUUGGCCAACGAAGGAAAACUUUUUGGUCGACGAAAAAAAAAUUUCGUCGACUAAAGUAUCGUAUAGCCGAUGAAAAAAUUUCUUCAGCCGACGAAAAUUUAAAUUAGCCGACGAAAAAAUAAUUCGUCGGCCUGGUUUUUUUAUUUUCGUCGGCUAAAACCUUUCUUUUGGUAGUGACACAUGUCAAAUGAAUAUCAAUACACGUUAUAUUAUUUUAAACAACAUGUUUUUUACGGAAAACGAUAACAUCAAUCAUAUAUAUCAACAAAUACACAUGUUUUUAACAAAACAAUAACAACCAAGAGUUAUCACUCAAUGACAAACAAAACAUCCAUUUCAAUUAUAAUCUAAUUAUCAAUUUAAGAAAGGUUCCCCGAGAAAGACCCUACCUGGAAUCCAAAUGCUACUUCCGACGCUAGCUAAAAUUAGUAACUCUGCUGAAAUCCUUAUCCUGCUACUUCUGCAAUCCAGCUACUCGCAUUCGAUCCUCGUACCGAAUCCUCAUUCCAAGAAUAUUGACAGACCACUUCAAAUCAGCUUGAUCUAAUUCUGAAAUUUACUAAGGACACCCAAGUCCUUACUUCCGAUUCUUCGACAUUCACUACUUAAUUCUCUCAUAGUAUCCAAACUCACAAUUGUGCUCCAAAUACGAAAUCCAUCUCCAAACACCAACCCAACUUCAAAUAGAAGUUAAUAUUUUUAUCUAAAAUUACUCUCUACACCCAAAACUCCCAUUAUAAAUCUCAAUACAGCUUGAUCAUCCUUCCCUCUUCUCCUUUGCACCAUUUCACAAUAUCUUCCUUGUAGACCCAACAAGCAAACCUCCAGACUUGUUCAUGAUGAACAUGUUCAUAUACGAGCACUUCCAUUACAUAAAUUAAAAUCAUUCUUCUACUUCCACAACUCUCAAACAUUAGACCAAACAAUUGUAACAACCACUGUUCUAACACUCGAGCCACAAUCAGCCUUCCAAUCAUCCCCUUCUCUCUCUUUUGAACGUUCAAGAAGCAUCAACACCAAUUCAAGUUCCUGAGCAAAGCCAGCACCGCCAACAACGCCACCACACACGGCAGCCGACGACUGCCCCGAAAUCAUCAACUCCUCCAAUCUCAAAUUCAAUUACAACCAACCAUGAAAUUAUAUUUUAAAGCCUCUAUCAAUAUCAAAGAUAGCUAAUCCAAAACCCAAAACAUUAUCAACGCCGCCGUGCACAGCAGCCGCGCACGGUGGUCGACUGCCCAAAUUCCACCUUCUUCCAAACAUAACCAAAUAUGAAUUCCACUUAUAUAAACAGGUAGAGCUCGACGAGAAGAUCAAGUUUCAUACCUCACUUGUCAUCGACGGUGGCCUGAAAGUUUCGAACCCUCGCCGGAAAACUCCUUGAGCUUUAAUUAAUCGAUUCUCACUCAUGGAGGCUCCUCUUAAUAUACGAACAUCAUGGAAGGGUUUCUGACAUCGAGACGAAGCUUCAGCUAUCGAUGAGAGGCGUCGACGCUGCCGGAAUCGAAAGUUGACCCGCGAACCCAGCCUCUCUUUCUCCCCUUCGAUUCUCUUACCCGACCUCUUCUGAAGAAACUGAGGACAUAGGGAAGACCACGAGAACGAGAGGAAGCUACCAAUACCCGUCACACUCGCCGUCGUGGCCGAAAUCACGAACUCGACCGGAAACCCAGAAAUUCUUCUCCUCCUCGAUUCUCUCUCUCCUCAGCUUUCCAUGGAAAUCCAACAUCACAAUCGUGUUGGGGACGACUAGACGGAGCUUUUGACACCGGUCUUGCACCGGGAAAUAGCUGGACCACAGAGGAAGGAGCUGAGCUCCGUCGCUGCAGAGCAGCUCGAGACCGAGUCGGUCUAGGCUUGUACUGAUCCAGUCCAAACUAAUCCCCUGUAUAUACAUACCUAAAUCGAUGGCCUAGAUCUAGCGGCUUAAGAGAUCCAACAGUCUAGAUCAUGUCAGCAAUAAGUCUAUUUUUAAUUAAAUUUUUAGAUAAUACAAACUUCUAAAAAUCAUUAAAAAUAGCUCUGAUGUCCAAAAAUACUUCCGUAAAAUUCUACAAACUCAUAACGACGUCUAGGUUAAUCCUAUGGGCUCGAAAGACAAAAUCGACAAACUAAAAAUUUGAAUAAUUUUCAACAAGCCACAAAAAAUUAAAAGAAUAAUAGAAAUCGAAAUAAAAAUAGCUCGAAAAAUAAUUUUCCUUUUAAAAAUAGAAAACUGAAAUUCCAGGAUGUUACAAAUAACUUCAGGAUUUCAAUUACAUGCAAAAGACAAGAGUUAGCAAGUAACUAAACCUUGGAAUUUAGAAUUUAAAUUUCAAGCCAGUGGUUAUUGUUGAACCUGUUACGAAGGAAAUGAAGCUCAGUCGACUGUGUGAUCGUCCGGUGUGGUUCACCUGAGUACCGUCGCUUGAUACAUUGAUCGGUUCCAUCUUACUCCGCAUUCCUAAUUGCCCGCUUCUCACUGGUGGCUGUCGUUUUCGUUUCUUUCGAAUAUGAAUUUUGUGUUGGGCUUUCGCAACUGUUAUUUGGGCCUGUAUACAGUAGUAUUAUCUCUCUCUCUCUCNNNNNNNNNNNNNNNNNNNNUAUUAUCUCUCUCUCUCUCUCUCUCUCUCUCUCUCUCUCUCUCUCUCUCUCUUUUCAAUAACCUGUCUUUUCUUUUUUAUUUAGAGAAGAUUCUACAACUUUUUGUUUCAAGACAUCUUUAUUUAUUUAUUUAGAGAAGAUUAUUUAUGAGGCUAUGUCAAAGAGAGAGCUUCUGCGACUGGAGUAGUUGACAUACCAUAGUUGAACGAAGCUACAACCCAUGGAUGGUCGUUAAUUGUUGGUGCUAAUCACGAAUCCCUCAACUGCAGAGUUUCUCCUGACCGAUCUAUCAAAGUUGAUUUUAACCCUAUCCCACAACCACUAUCCGGUUGCUGAAGCUCUAGCUCUGCGCAAUAGCCUCGUGUAUGCUAAUUAAAGAGCGAGGCUUCUCCAAGAUUGAAGUUGAGGGCGAUUCUAAGUUGGUGAUUGACGCCGUGAAUGGAGUGUCGACCCCUCUGUGGAAGUUACUCAAACUAAUUCAUGAUAUCAAAGUCUUGAGUAAUUCCUUUGAGUUUGUAUGCUUUCAGCAUGUGUUUAGGGAAGCAAACUUUGUGGCUAAUGCUUUAGCCAAUCUUAGAUAUAGGCUGAGUAACCUACGCUGCUAGGAGAAGUGUGUUCCCCCGGAAGUGUCUUCUGCUCUUGCCUUUGACAUUGUAAACCUUGGGUGCAUUAGAGACACCUCCAUCUAAUAUAUUUUUUUUUNNNNNNNNNNNNNNNNNNNNNNNNNNNNNNNNNNNNNNNNNNNNNNNNNNNNNNNNNNNNNNNNNNNNNNNNNNNNNNNNNNNNNNNNNNNNNNNNNNNNNNNNNNNNNNNNNNNNNNNNNNNNNNNNNNNNNNNNNNNNNNNNNNNNNNNNNNNNNNNNNNNNNNNNNNNNNNNNNNNNNNNNNNNNNNNNNNNNNNNNNNNNNNNNNNNNNNNNNNNNNNNNNNNNNNNNNNNNNNNNNNNNNNNNNNNNNNNNNNNNNNNNNNNNNNNNNNNNNNNNNNNNNNNNNNNNNNNNNNNNNNNNNNNNNNNNNNNNNNNNNNNNNNNNNNNNNNNNNNNNNNNNNNNNNNNNNNNNNNNNNNNNNNNNNNNNNNNNNNNNNNNNNNNNNNNNNNNNNNNNNNNNNNNNNNNNNNNNNNNNNNNNNNNNNNNNNNNNNNNNNNNNNNNNNNNCACUCUCUCUCUCUCUCUCUCUCUCUCUCUCUCUCUCUCUCUCUCUCUCUCUCUCUCUCUCUCCACCGUUGAGCAGCAACGAUUCUGGCAACACCGGACGGCGAGACCGCCACUGAAGUGAUCCUCUCCUCCUCCUCAACUCAGCCCAGUCCUUUAAUUCGGAAGACAUCCACUUUUGGCGGAGAUCGAUGGAGGAGGACGGUGACUAUCCUUCAUUGUUUUCCGGCGAGGGCUCAGGCUCCGAUCACUGAUCCACCUAGCGACGGUGAGUCCCUUCCUCCUCUCUUCCUUCUGCACAGUCUAGUGCUUUAUUUCCUUCAAAUCGAGACCUAACUCAGAAAUCCCCUUGUGUUUCUGAGUUUCUUGAGCUUCUUUUCCUGCGAUUGUGUUCUUCGUGUUCUGGUGGCGACCACGAGCUCCGACGAGCGUAGUUCAUCCUUGGAGAUGCCGGGACUUAGAGUUGGGAAGCUUUGGGGCAGUUGCUGUUGUGCAGCAUCGUGGCAAAGGGACUGCUUAUUGAUUUCAAGCAAGGAGAGGUUGCUGGGUUUGAGUGGUGUACAGAUUGGAGGUAAGGAGUUUGAUUUGGUCGGCUGUGUUGUUGUUUGUGUUGCGGUUAUUGAGUUGGAUUGUGACUAAAAUCAUUGUUGUGGUUGAUACUUGUCGAUGUCAAUAACUUGGUGAUAGGAGUUUAUGAGGAGGCUAUGGCAAAAUUCCGGUAAGUCGUCGGAAUCUGGCAAGAGAUUUCGACGAGGGCAGAAUCAUGCAGAGACUAUUGAGGUAGUUAUCGAUGUUUUUCCCUGCUAUUGUGUAUCGUUUCAAUAAUAGGAAAGUUUGUAGGUUGUAAUCGGAAAUCUUUCUAAGUGAGGAAAGUUUCUAUUUUAGGAAACUUUCCCUUUUUGGGAAACUUUCUAUUUAUGGAAACCCAUUGUUGGGUGCCCUUAGUGAUUUAUGGGGUGAAGUUGUGUUGAGAGGAAGUAUAUGGGGAUUGUAUGGGUGAAGAAACAAUUGUAAUUGUGUUGUAAUUGAGGAUUUCUCGGAUGAAGAAAUUGGAUAAUCGAGGAAUGGAUUUAGUGAAAAGGUUUGUUCUUAUUUAAGAUCUAAUUGAUUUCAAGUGAAGCAAAUAAUUGAUUUAUUAAAAUGAUUGUUGGAUUUGAAUUGGAUGGUUAAGAGUAAUCAAGGUAACCCGAAUUUUCAAGUCGAAGGUUAGAGUGGAAAAUGUUGAAACUUCGUUACUUGGCCAACCCUAAUUUAAUUGGUCAAUUUUGGUCAACUCAGGAAAUCUAGCCAAACUAGGAAGAAUUUGAAUCCAUGAUUAUUAUGGUGUUUGGUCUGACCGAUUUAUUCUUCUAUUUAUCGUCAGACGUGGGAUUGGCUAGAGAAUGUGAAUAGUUUGAGGCAGCGCUCGAGGAGUAUUCCGAGCAUUGGAAGACUUAGGCCUAAUACGGUGAGUGGACUUUUGUUUUAAAUAAUAUGCAUGCAAAUGGUUUAUUGUUGAGCAAUUUCUUUUGUUGGAGCAUUUGACGUCAUUUUAUUUUGACGAUUUCUUUUAUUUUGGAGAGUUACCGAAAAUGAGAUUUUCGGUGGAUAUGUAUAUGGAUUCUUAUGAGUAUAGUAUAAAUGCUAGCUAGCCUUACGUGUUUGGUCCGUCAUAAUAAGGUAAAAUUCCAUUAUGGCGUGACGUAAGUGUUAGACACAAGCGUCAUAGCCCUAUAUGAAAACUAUUUUCAUAUCUAGUUCAUAUAGAUUUUCAUAUAGGGAGUCCACACGUAUAUACACCCGUCCUCUUCGGUCAUAAUGAGGAAAAAUUUCAUUAUGGCGCGACGUGAGCGUUAGACGCAAGCGUCGUAGCCUUGUAUGAAUUUCUAUUUUUCUAUUUUGUUCAUAGAAUUCGUACAAGGAGUCUGACGAGUGUAAAUACAUACAUAUAUGUAUAGUUUAACCUGAGAUUCUGUAUUUUAUUAAGUUUUGGAGACUAGCUCAUGUAUUUGCCAGUUUAUGAGUUGAAAGCUUUUGAGCUGUCGCAUGCAGCAUAUUUUAUAUGGAAAUUAAAUUGGGGAAGCAUAAAGAAAUAUUGUUAUUAAAUUUAUUUUUGUCCACUCACUCUAACGUGUUUUCAAAUGUUUUCCCAUGCGCCAUUUGUUUUAAAAAUGCUCAGUAUGCAGGUUAGCUUAGUUGAGGUCGGGCGUACAUGAAGAAGAGACAUAGUCAAUAGUAUAGUUUCUGCUCAUUUCUAUAUUUCUAGUUCUUUUCUUCUCCAUUAGAGCUGUUCUGAACUGUGAUUGUUGGUUAUGGGAUUAUUCUUAUUAAGUUAGUAAAUAAAUUGGGAGAUGUUGUGAUUUGGGGAGCACGAAGGCUCCAGGAGUAGAGGGUUAUAGAUGGAUUUUUUCGAAGUGUUUGCAGGUAUUUCUAGGAAGGGUUGUCCAUUUUCAAGAGAGAUUAUGUCGAAUUUUCGGUAAAUUUUCCUUGGAGGUGGUCCCCGCAGGAUUUACUUCGGGUUUCAGGGUGAAAUUCGAGGUGGGUCCUGACACCAAGUGAGGAUUUUUAAAAAUGUUUAGGUGAUGUGAUAAUGAAAUUGGAAAAUAUCAAAUAACAAUUAAAACAUUCAUCUAACCAUUCAUUCAAAAGUCUACAUAUAAUUCUCGUUAUAAGUAGGAUGGCAAUGGGUAGGGUAGGAUACGGGGAUCAAAAUACCGUAUCCAUACCCUUUUACAUUUCUCAUCCCCGUACCCGUAAUUAGAUAAUGGGGAUUUCCCGUACCCGUACCCUUUGGGGAUUACGUUUCCAUACCCGUACCCGUACCCGUUAACAAUUAUGUAUUAAAUUAAAUUUUUUUUUAAAUACGAAAUACAUUAUAUAAAAGUAUGAAAUUAAAAUCAAAUACCAAAAUAAAUAAGUUUCAUGCUUCAAUCCAAUAAAAAUAAAUACAAGUUUUGGUUAAAACAGAACAAUACCGAUAAAUUUCAUUAAGAAAAUAAAAAUAUAUAAUAAAAAGGAAGGUCCGUUUAUUAAGAGAAUCACAAAUUUUUUUACAUAAAUAUUUAUUUAUAAAUUAUAUAUAAAUAUAUAUAAUAAAUUAUAUAAUUAUAUAUAAUAAUAUUUUCAUCCUUAAUAGGUGGGGAUAGGGACGAAUAUCAAAAUAUCAUACCCGCCCCGUACCCGAUUUAAGAAUCCGAAUACUGGGGAUCCCCAUCUCCAUUACCCAUUUAUAACCGUAUAUCUUCCUCGUUAGAGUCGAAUACCCGUGGGUACCCUACCCGCUAGGGAUUAUUGCCAUCCUUAGUUAUAAGGUUCUCAUUAGAAGUUUUCCCACUAAUGAAAUCGAAAAUUAGAAAGUCGCAACCUAGCUAUCUAUCAUGACGAAAACUAACAAAACCCGAUGAAGUAUCACACCAAGGAACUCUAGAUCUAACGUAUAUCUGUCUUUUGUGAUCCAAAAAACACGCGUACGACAUAUUACAUUGACUUACAACAUUUGGUGUACGGUAAUACCGUAUACCGUAUACCAUUUCCUAAACAUUUUCUCAAAAGUUAUACCAAGCACAACACCCAUAUAGGCAUAUUUAAGAAGUCCAAAAAGAAAUAAAGUUCAUUUUUCUCGGUCUUCACUAUCCGAUUUAAGUUUGUUUAACCCUAUACAGUCCAUUAUUUCAAGGAUCAAAACAAUUGAUAAUCGGAUUCGAUGCUAAUGAUCGACUUGGCUUUAAGGUGAUGGAAACCACUUCCAAUGGCCAGAAAAGACUUGAUUGGAGACUCCAAAAUAUAUAACUAGCUAGAUUCCGUAUUUCAUACCAAAUAGGAUCUCAAAUUAUAUAAAGUGAGAAAGCAAACUCAAACUAUCAAAAUGUUGUCGAAAUAUAUGGAUGGAGUUCUUGCAAAUUCUAUAUAUUUGAACCAAAGGAGAGUACGUACGUAGUACCUAUAGCUAUCUAAGGUUAGUCAGUUACUCAAUUUUAUUAGACUUCAUCAAUCGCUUUUCGUCUUUCACUCUAUAUAUGCCAUUUUGAAGUAGGUAUAACCAAGGAAAGGAAGUAGAAGAAGAAGGAAAUUUCAUUAUAAGCCAUACGAUUACAAGUGCAUAUAUAGUACGUAGUAGCUAGUUAUUGUCUUAGUGCGUUAGACCUCUCGUACUACAAGAGAGCCAUACAGGACUACCUUUAUUCAUUCUCUACCCCUUAAGCUAGCUUAGUGCCAAAACACUACGUGCCGCAUCAUAUUUUUACAUUUCGAUCAUCACAAUGAUUUAAGCAAUAGCCCAUCAGCUCUUCUGGGGCAUGGCAGCCGACCUUGAGGAGCUCAAGGCAACGAUCUCCUGCCUGUUGUACUUGAGGUUCCUAGCCUGCUGACGGUCCAUCUGGUAAGCGUUGGCGAGGACCACGUCGGGGAGUGAUCGCAGGACGGAGGUCCUACCAGCCAUGGUGUUGAUCAUGGCAUUGUCUUGGGUCUUAAAGGCAAUGUACUCGUAUCCAUUGCUCAUGGCCUUUUGCAACACGGCGUGGUUUUGCGGCACGAUGAAGAGCUGUCCCUGGCGGACCUGGUCGUCCAAGAUGCAGUCGCCAUUGUCGUUCACCACCUGAACCCUAGCGCUGCCCCUGAUGACGUAGUAUACUUCAUGGGCGUUCAAGUUCCAGUGUGGGCUGUAGAUAGCGUUCUGCAUUUACAACGUAUCAAUCACUUUUAAUUACUUAAGCUCAAACAAUUAAUUGGUAACUAAUUAAAAUGAACUAAUAAAUGCAUGGAAAAGAAUACUGACGUUGUAGAAGAAGCCUCUCUCAGCGCUGAGACGGAGGCGCCUGAGAAUAGGCAUGGUGAAGGCGUUGAGGGUGCUGAUGCGACCGGCUUGCGGGCUGAAGACGUCGGCCAUUGUAGGCCUUCCGAUGUUUUGUCUCAUCUUCAUGUGGCAGAAGAGCUCCUCCAUGCCGUUCUCUUCAUAUUGUCCUUGUUGUCCCUGCAUUUGUGUUCCUUGGAUUUGCCUUUCCUCCCUCAUUGACUCUGGGGGCUGGAUGAAGUCGAGGCGUCCCUGUACCCUAACAAUCUGUGGCCUGUUGUCGUUCAUUCCCUGGAGCUGCUGGGCGGUCUGUUGGUCGAUGUUAAGAGCGUCGGCGAGGAGCUGUGUGUCGAAGCCGGAGAAGACGUUGUUGUAGUUCCCCUGCAUUUGGUGCCUGCUCUUUCCUUGUUGUCUCCGGAUCCGUGGGCUUUGGCCUUGUUGGGUGAACUCAUCUUGUGGGUUACCAGCAAGGUAGAAUCUCUAUAUAUAAAGAGAGAUUAAGCAGCAACAAGUCAGUGAACAUUACCCUAAACUAUUUUUGGUACAUGCAAGAAUAUAUACUGAAUGAAAUGUGGUAAGAAAUUGUACCCUUGGGAUUCGGUCCAGCUGGUUGUGCUGGUUGCUCAUGUCAAGAAGACUGACGAAAACAAGAGGUUCGUUAGCGUCGUUGUAACUCCAGCAGGUGACACCAGCAGGAAUGGCGAUAACAUCACCUUCCCUGACGCGUCGGACCUUCUGGUGACGGUCGAGCUGAUCAUAGCUCUCUUGCUGGCCUUGCUGGCCCAUUUGUCCCUCUCGGCGUAUAAUCUGUUGCCGGCGGCCUUGUUGGCCUUGAGAUUGUCGUUGCUCUUCAACAGAUUGUUCGGUUUCUUCGAAAGUCUCGGGACAGCCGGGGAGAACCAUUCCUAGAUGACCCAUACCUGCAAUACUCAUAGCAAUAAGUUAACAGUCCAUCGACAAACGCUAGCUAGCUACAUGCAAUUUCGGUAUAACUAAUGAAGUGAUAUGAUAUUACCUCGGACGACGUAAACGAGUCGUGGAGUGUUAACGUAAGAAGGCAGGUGGAGGCCGUUGUUCUCAAUGGUGAUCUUCUGAACGGCGACGCCAGCGCACUGGAAGUCAUCCUGGUUGUAGUCCCAGGACUCGAUCCGACCUGCUUCAGUCUCAAUGCGGUUGUCGGGCUCGCGGGCUUGGAUCCG
rnacentral:lncRNA from 1 species